rnacentral:rRNA from 1 species
CCCUUAGAUGUUCUGGGCUGCACGCGUGCUACACUGAGUGGAUCAGCGGGUCAGGUUGCGCGAAAGCGUUUCCUAAUCUUUAAAUCCGCUCGUGAUGGGGAUUGACGGUUGCAAUUUUCUGUCAUGAACGAGGAAUACCUUGUAAGCGCGGGUCAUCAUCCCGCGCUGAAUACGUCCCUGCCCUUUGUACACACCGCCCGUCGCUCCUACCGAUUGAGUGGUCCGGUGAGGCUUUGGGAUCUGAGCGGAAAGAGCGUUUCGCUGUUUCUGCUCGGAAAACUCAGUCGAACCUUAUCAUUUAGAGGAAGGAGAAGUCGUAACA